ACUGACAAUGUUGUGCAACACUGCAAAAUUUUCAUCUCCCCAAACAGAAACGCUGUACCCAUUGAGAAAUAACUACCUAUUCUCUGCUCCCUCUCCAGACCCUGGAAACCUCUAAUCUUUCUGUCUCUAUGAAUUUGUCUAUUCUAGAUAUUUCAUGUACAUGGAAUUCUACUAUAUUUGUCCUUUUGUGUCCAGCUCAUUUUUCUUAGCAUUUUCAAGUUCAUUCAUGGUGUACCAUGUAUCAGAACUUCAUUCCUUUUCAGGGCUGAAUAAUAUUCCAUUGUUUGUAUUGACCAUAUCCUGUUUAUCUAUUCAUGUGCUGAUGGACACAUGGCUGUUUCCGCUUUUUGGAACACUGACUUGAUUUUUGUUUGAGUCCUUGUUUUCAAUCCUUUUGAGACUAUACCCAAAAGGAGAACUGCUGGGUCAUAUGAACAUCCUUAUGUUUAAUGAGAAACAACAGCAGUAUAGUUUUACAGUCCACAUAUGUGGUCUUCUGGUACGCACAACAGCCACAAGAGUUCCUAUGCAUUUAGGAAACAAUUCACUUUUGGAGAGAUUUCCUUCCUUGGGGUACUCACACCCCAAGUGAUCACCUUAUUUCGAGGAACCUGACUCUGGUUUGGGUGCUACUUUGACUGUCCUGGCACUCCAGUUUCCCAGUUCUCACAAUUUUUCCACGCUAUUUUUUCCACAUAAAGGCAAGUACCCUGUAGUAGUAACUCUCCAAAUGAACAUUAUGAUGAAAAUAAACAUCAUUCAGAUAUUGAAGUCACAUUCAUAUUCUUAAUGUAUCUAAUAACAUCAGAUGAGUGAAAGUUACAUAAGAGGAAGGGUAUUUUUGAGCAGGUAAGAUGAUAAAGGGUUUUUAUAAAGGAUGACUUCUCCUGAACCCAUUUCUUAAACCCAGACGAACAUUUAAAGCAUGCUAAACUUGGACAAGAUGUAUAAGCCUUUACUGUUGUAAGGGAAGGAUCUCUUUUCAUUCCAAGGUUAGCAGCCUGGGAUUUCUAAACUGACAUUAUUACCCCCAAUGCCAAGAGGUCUUAUAAAACUACAAAAUACAACAAUGUAAAUUCAGAGAAAUGAUGUGUGCUAACUUGGAACAUUUCUAACUUGGAGCACCUCAGUGCAAAGGGCAGGAUCAGAAGAAGUCAGGAGGAGGAUAUUUUUACUUUUUAUUCAACUCCUGCAUUUCAAAUACUUUUCAAAAAUAUGCAUCCUUAUGUAAUUGUGUAAUGGCCUAAAAUUGUAUUUAAAAUAAAGCAAUAAAAGGCCAGGUAAGGAAAAAAGAUAAGCUAUUAAAAGGAGCUACACAGGCAGUUCUAAUAAUAUCACCAUCUAACACAAUCAGAGAACUCUAAUCUCGCUUGAACUUUACAACACUAUGAGGUAGGCAUUUUAGUAAAUGAAGAAAAGAAGGUUGAGGAGUUCCCGUCGUGGCGCAUGGUUAACGAAUCCAACUAGGAACCAUGAGAUUGCGGUUCGAUCCCUGGCUUUGCUCAGUGGGUCAGGAUCCCGCGUUGCCGUGAGCUGUGGUGUAAGGUUGCAGAAGCAGCUUAGAUGCCACGUUGCUGUGGUUGUGGUAUAGGCCAGGGGCUACAGCUCCAAUUAGACCCCUAGCCUAGGAAUCUCCAUAUGCCGUGGGUGUGGCCCUAGAAACCACAAAAAGACAAAAAACAAAAAACAAAAAAACUUGGUAAUUUGAUAAGCUAAAGAUGCCUGAACUCACAAGAGACUCACAUAGAAGAGACACUACAGUGAACGGGGCAACAACUACACAGCACACAGAUCUACCCCAGGGAGGACCCAUGCCCUCUACACAACCAACCAGGGGAAGAACAGGCCUCCAUCAGAACCAUGACUCCACUAAAAUAAAAAAGGAAAACAUCACAGCCCUAAGCCUUAGUCAUUUCUCCACUGCCCAGAAAAACAAUCUGAAAAGAUUCUUAGCAUCCAUGAGAGAAGUCCUCCAGAAUGAUUAAGUGGUUACUAACUACGGUUUAAGAGCAUUCAAACGAAAAAUGAUUUACUUUUUUUACAAGCAGGACAAAACUUUACCAAAGAGCAUCCCACAACUGACCGACAUUAAGAUGGCAAUAUUAAAGUUUCAAAAGUUUUGAAAGUUCAGUGUUAAUAAGCAAAAUAUUUCAUUUAGCUUUUCAACCUGAGUAUUUCCACAGGCUCAUUUUAAAUUCUGGGUAUAACCACUGAAUGAAUACCCUUUUGUCACUAAGAACUUCUACCUCUACUUCUAAGUUUAGUUCACUUCUAAAAUCUCACAUCCCAUUCCAAUGUCAAUCCUGAGAAGUGAGAAUUAGGUUAACUAUUGUACAACUAUGGGAGUAAUAGAACUGAACAAUUAAUCUCUAGCAAAAGGCUCUAUUGUAACAUACAAGUCCAUCCUCACUUCAUUGUUGAUUUAGUAAAAUCAUCAAGUUCUCCACCUUGACUCAACAGCAGCCAAUUAAAUAAAAUCAUCAACAAAUCUUUCAAACGUUGGUAUCAAUUUAUUCUGAAGCUGAAACACACGUGUGUAUACAGUCUGAGUAAAGCAAUUUCAAGGAGAAACAUCCCUAUGGAAGAGCAUAAAUCUGUAAAAUAAUCUAAAGCAAAACCUUUUUAUCAAAACCACAAAUUAUUUCCUGAACUGGUCUGCCCAAAGUCCAACACAAAAUAUAUACAAAAUAUGUUUGACUCUAUGCUCUACUAGUUUAGUAGAGAGCCUGAAUAACAGAUUAAGUUAAUAAAGCAACUUUCUAAACUAAAACGUGCCUAAGUAUCUUUUAAAAGGUUUUAACAUUAUGCUUAAUGUCCUAUCAAAGAUCCAUGACUAGGGAGGAUACAUCUUUGAAUUCAUUUUAUAGUUUUGUUUCGUGUAUGUAAAAGUGUCCACUCCAAAUAAAAUCCAUUACUUCUCUCCAACACAUUACUGAAAUGGUCAGAGGCUCAGCAAAACACCAUACUCAAGUUAUCAAACGUCAGCUGUUAACUUACGUUAGCACCCAAACAAGCAUUAACCGAAGAACAAAAACCAAAGUUUAUAAUAAGAACAACACUAAAAGUUUAAAAAGAAAGAAAAAAAAAAAAAAAAAAA
ensembl:lncRNA